rnacentral:rRNA from 1 species
GAUGCGACCUGCCUGGCCCGCCGUGGUUACACGUGCGAGUGCCGGGUGUUGUCCGUCUGUCUUCCUGUUGCUGGCCGCCCUCUUCACUGAGUGGUGUGCUUAGCAGUAGGAUCUUUUACUUUGAACAAAUUAGAGUGUUUCAAGCAGGCUAGUGCCAUGAAUACAUUAGCAUGGAAUAAUAACUUAGGACUUCGGUUCUAUUUUGUUGGUUUCGAGAGCUGAAGUA